GACGAACGCUGGCGGCGUGCUUAACACAUGCAAGUCGAACGGAAAGGCCCUGCUUUUGUGGGGUGCUCGAGUGGCGAACGGGUGAGUAACACGUGAGUAACCUGCCCUUGACUUUGGGAUAACUUCAGGAAACUGGGGCUAAUACCGGAUAGGAGCUCCUGCUGCAUGGUGGGGGUUGGAAAGUUUCGGCGGUUGGGGAUGGACUCGCGGCUUAUCAGCUUGUUGGUGGGGUAGUGGCUUACCAAGGCUUUGACGGGUAGCCGGCCUGAGAGGGUGACCGGCGAGAGUGGGGAGGAGGGACGCGAGAGGGACGGGGGGGAGGAGGAGGUGGGGAAGAUGGGACGGGGGGCGGAAGCCGGAGGCAGGAGGGGGGGGUGGGGGAGGGCGGCCUUCGGGGAGGACCCGGCUGUCGGCGGGGAGGAGGAGGGAGGGGGGGUAAGGGACAAAGAAGAACCGCCAAACUAAGGGCCAGCGGCGGAGGUAAAAGGGAGAAGAGCAGAGUGGUGAAC
rnacentral:rRNA from 1 species